GUUGAAUAUGGAAGACUUUGAAGCUGUGGGUGGUGAAGUUGCUUUUGUUUGAAACAGAGACUGAUAAAUAUGUGGUUACCUAAGGUGUGAUUGUUGAAUAGCGUCUUGGCUACAAUCAUGUUGAAGAAGAAUAUUAAGAGUCUCGUGUAGUCAAGAUUGAUCUGAAGCUUGCUAUGAAGCAAAGGAUGACCCUGGAUAUCAUGCUUCUAUCUUCUGACUGCUAUAGGACUACAAGAAUGUAUCACUACACCUGUUUAUGAGAUGUGACAGUGUAGGUCCAUUGGCAUCAUCUUCCUGGCAAAGUUCAUGGCCUCUUGGUGAUGUAAGGUCCCUCAGCAUCGUUGUCAUGGUUCCUUCCCGUGGUAUCACCCUGUUAUCCUCUUAGGGUAUGAGAGCUAUGAACAUCCAUCCUUCAUCUUGGGGUUGCUGUCAACUUUGUAGCUAUCUGACUGUUGUACAUCCUAGUGACAACUGAGUACCCAUCCAGCAACCAGCUUCACAGAUGCAUCCUAUCUGCUUAGGUGAGUUGCUUUUCUUCACGUACCAGUCUUCAAAGGACAGGGCAUGUACUGGAAUGUAGGUGAAAUGAGACUUCCAAAAUGAUCUUUCUCUUUCAGGAAAGGGCUCUUGCACAGGUUGAAUUUUCAUAGUGGGAAGAAUCAGCCAGAGACCUACCCCAACAUGAUUUUAUGGAGGGUGCAGGUUUUUAUAUCCUAUGCUUAAUUACAGCAAGGAUUUUGCUUUCCACUGGGGCUUUAUAUGCAUGCAGAUUUU